rnacentral:ncRNA from 3 species
UAUAAACAAAAAGCGUGCGGCCCCGAGGACUCGGGGAAACGAGGAGAAGGUAAUUCGAAAAUCCCGGAAUUUACGGGAUUAAUCAGCGGGUACCUUCAAGAUGGAGUUAUCAUCUUAAAUGUUUUCCAUAAAAACUUAAGGCAACUUAAGCGACAAAAGGAAAACAAAUAACUAC